rnacentral:lncRNA from 1 species
GCCACAGAUUAUAGUUUCCUCUUUGCCGAGCCAAAAACCAGUCCACCUCUCUUGUAGUCGGCCAAAUCAAGUUAAGCUCAAUUGUGAUGCAGCUGUUGGAAGAGGUUUGGGGAUUGGCAUUGGUGUUGUGUUGAGGGAUGCGGACAACAACAAGAUUGGCGAAAGAUCAGGUUUUUUGCAGGGGGUUUUUACAGCUGAGGAAGGGGAGGCUCGUGCGGUGCUUGAAGGUUUGCGGUUUUGUGUUGGGCUUGAGUUCUCAGACAUCAUUAUAGAAAUGGACUGUCAAAGUUUGUAUUGGAAACUUAAGAGGUGUGAAUGAUCUUUCCUUCCUUGGUGACACUCUUCAGGAAAUCCAUGGUUUAGUUACUUCUGCUGCACAUGUGGAGUUUAGCUGGUGUUCUAGGGAGAACAAUAGCGCUGCUGAUUCCUUGGCUAAACAAGGCCUUUUUUCUCGUUCUGCUUUAGCUUCUAUUUUUUUCAACUUUCCUUUUGUAAGCUGACUUCUUAGUUUUCUAAUGGAAGUCUUUUUUCCUCUCAAAAAAAAAAGUUGUUAUCGUCC